AUGCGCAGCCAUAUCACGCUGCAGCUCUCAACUGGCUACCCACUGAAGCUAAGCAGGGUUGAGCCUCGUAAGUACCUGGAUAGGAGAGCUCCUGGGAAAACUAUGGUUGCUGCUGGAA
rnacentral:rRNA from 1 species